rnacentral:rRNA from 1 species
UACGGAGGGUGCAAGCGUUAGUCGGAAUUACUGGGCGUAAAGCGUACGUAGGUGGUUAGGUAAGUAGGUUGUGAAAGCCCCAGGCUUAACUUGGGAACUGCAGCCUAAACUACCUAGCUAGAGGGCAGUAGAGGGAGAUGGAAUUUCUGGUGUAGCGGUGAAAUGCGUAGAUAUCAGAAAGAACACCAGUGGCGAAGGCGAUCUCCUGGACUGUGUCUGACACUGAGGUACGAAAGCGUGGGGAGCAAACAGG